rnacentral:rRNA from 1 species
UACGUAGGGUGCAAGCGUUAAUCGGAAUUACUGGGCGUAAAGCGUGCGCAGGCGGCUUUGCAAGACAGAUGUGAAAUCCCCGGGCUCAACCUGGGAACUGCAUUUGUGACUGCAAGGCUAGAGUACGGCAGAGGGGGAUGGAAUUCCGCGUGUAGCAGUGAAAUGCGUAGAUAUGCGGAGGAAACACGGAGGGCGAGGGCAAUCCCCGGGGCCUGUACGGAGGCUCAUGCACAAAGGGGUGGGAGCAAACAGG